AAACAAUGUGCUCAGUGACCAACUUGGCUGCUGUAUUGAGCCAACAGAUGAUGUCAUGCCACUUCCUAAAGUAACCGGUUGGAGAACAACAGUAAGUGUCUGUUCAAGCACCAUUCCAGAACUUGCUGCAGCUAGAUCAAAUUCAUUUGAGAUUAAAUGCAACCUCUGAGAGUGAUAAAAUCCUCUGUAGAUAGAAGGUCUGUCCAUCAAUGCAGAAAGUCCAGCUUUGUCUCGGCAAGGAAGCAACUUUAGCCAGGGAGUGAGGUUCUCUGUGCAAACAGCCUCACGGGGCAAGGUGCCAUAUCUGAUAUUUGUAGCAAAUGACUUGAAGCUCCAUUGAGGAGAAGAAUAAGCAGUUGAUGACUCUAGGAAGUUAAUAGAAGCACAAAAGAGCCCUGAAAGAGCGUGUGUUAAAUUUCUCCACGAAGCGUCGACCUGAUGUUGUGGAACAUCAAAAGUAGCCCAGAGUUCAACUCCAGGAGGCUUCGCAUUUCUACUUGAAAUGGGAUCAUAUCCACCCCAGCGUGCAUAAUUCCAGCGACCUUGUGUGAACGACAGCUCCAUUUCUUGAACUCUAAAUUUAUGGACCAGCUGAUAAAUGGAUUUGGGGAAAAGGUGGUGGUGGCUGCCAUGUGUUCGAGUUGGUGGGACUUUACUUUCGAAAUGAAAAUGAGCAAGCACUUUACGAUCUGGCAAUGGCCUCAACAAGAGUGCUUCUGAGAACUGUUCAAUUUGAUCUUCCUCUUCGGCAAUAAUUGACCCGAAACUCUUAAAGAGCAGAAGAAAAAGCAAAAUUGAUCUUAACCGAACCAUUAAUGGAGCUCCUGUGUUAUCGUUGAUAUUGAAACUGGGAAUAUGUGAAAGAUAAAUCGAACAAUUCCGCCAUUACAAGAGCUUCAAGGUGUGUUAAAACUUAGAUCAAAGGUUUGAACAAUUUUG
rnacentral:misc_RNA from 1 species